rnacentral:snoRNA from 1 species
AUUCAUGUUUGAUGGGGGAACGGAACCCCCUUGAUCUUGGGUAUAUCCUGAUCAUCUUACUUCUUUUCUAUGUUAUUUGAUCCUGGAAAUGCCUCAUACAUUU